rnacentral:tRNA from 1 species
UUAACUAAAGCCAAAUAGAGGCAUUUCAUUGUUAAUGAAAAUAAUGAGUCAAUCUCUAGUUAAA